GCCCUCUUGGCUUAGUGGUAAAGCGUAUCACUAGUACUCCAGUGCUAUGAUAAGAUCGCUAGUUCGAUUCUGGCAGAGGGCA
rnacentral:tRNA from 1 species